UGAAGAGUUUGAUCAUGGCUCAGAUUGAACGCUGGCGGCAGGCCUAACACAUGCAAGUCGAACGGUAACAGGAAGCAGCUUGCUGCUUUGCUGACGAGUGGCGGACGGGUGAGUAAUGUCUGGGAAACUGCCUGAUGGAGGGGGAUAACUACUGGAAACGGUGGCUAAUACCGCAUAACGUCGCAAGACCAAAGAGGGGGACCUUCGGGCCUCUUGCCAUCAGAUGUGCCCAGAUGGGAUUAGCUUGUUGGUGAGGUAACGGCUCACCAAGGCGACGAUCCCUAGCUGGUCUGAGAGGAUGACCAGCCACACUGGAACUGAGACACGGUCCAGACUCCUACGGGAGGCAGCAGUGGGGAAUAUUGCACAAUGGGCGCAAGCCUGAUGCAGCCAUGCCGCGUGUAUGAAGAAGGCCUUCGGGUUGUAAAGUACUUUCAGCGGGGAGGAAGGUGUUGUGGUUAAUAACCGCAGCAAUUGACGUUACCCGCAGAAGAAGCACCGGCUAACUCCGUGCCAGCAGCCGCGGUAAUACGGAGGGUGCAAGCGUUAAUCGGAAUUACUGGGCGUAAAGCGCACGCAGGCGGUCUGUCAAGUCGGAUGUGAAAUCCCCGGGCUCAACCUGGGAACUGCAUUCGAAACUGGCAGGCUUGAGUCUUGUAGAGGGGGGUAGAAUUCCAGGUGUAGCGGUGAAAUGCGUAGAGAUCUGGAGGAAUACCGGUGGCGAAGGCGGCCCCCUGGACAAAGACUGACGCUCAGGUGCGAAAGCGUGGGGAGCAAACAGGAUUAGAUACCCUGGUAGUCCACGCCGUAAACGAUGUCUACUUGGAGGUUGUGCCCUUGAGGCGUGGCUUCCGGAGCUAACGCGUUAAGUAGACCGCCUGGGGAGUACGGCCGCAAGGUUAAAACUCAAAUGAAUUGACGGGGGCCCGCACAAGCGGUGGAGCAUGUGGUUUAAUUCGAUGCAACGCGAAGAACCUUACCUGGUCUUGACAUCCACAGAACUUUCCAGAGAUGGAUUGGUGCCUUCGGGAACUGUGAGACAGGUGCUGCAUGGCUGUCGUCAGCUCGUGUUGUGAAAUGUUGGGUUAAGUCCCGCAACGAGCGCAACCCUUAUCCUUUGUUGCCAGCGAUUAGG
rnacentral:rRNA from 2 species